ensembl:snoRNA SNORD9 small nucleolar RNA, C/D box 9
CCCCUGUGAUGAGUUGCCAUGCUAAUACUGAGACACCAAGGAGGGUGUUUUACCCUACUUUGGGUGUUACUGAGAUAAAGUCUAUUUCUCACAAAUUUACCUGAGGGGC